GGAAUAUUUAAGAAACAGAAAAGUAGGCGAAGUUCUAAAAUUGGAGAAAUCUCCAUAGAAACCAAUGGAAAUUCUUCUGAUGAUUCUGUUGGUUUCCACGGAGAUGGCUUCUCUUUUAGAACCUUGGCCCACUUUUCAGCUAGUGGCAUUUUUAGAAAUUUUCCCACUGGACCUAACUAAACCCCAAAGUUGCCUUGAGUACAGCCUUUAAGUGAUAAUCUCAAUAUAAAAUCACAAAAUUACCAUCGUAAAUGCCCACUCAGGAGACCAAGGAUACAAUUCAGAAAGACUCCACAAUUUGGCUAUAACCUUGGGCAGGUAUGAUCCCAUAAAACCCAACGCUAACUCUAUUUUUAGAGUUGAGUGCAACAGAACAAAGCAGGUCCAAAGAAGGAUCCGAUGCAGCAAGGAUUACAUAUGGUGUCAUGGUGACUUCAGCUACAGAGGUCGUCAGCAUUGAAUUUCUUAGAAACACAAUAUUGAUGAAAUAUGACAUCUCCAAUUUGUAGUUCAAAUAGAUCGGCCCAAGUUGAGCCAAAAAAAAAACACCUGAUUGUAGCUAUACAUUCAAACUCAGAGCCUAGCAAACAGGGCUGAAUGCAAUAUCUACCAAAAAUACCUAUGUUAGCAGGCUAUCAGUGCGGUCGCCAGAACUUCACACCAAUAAAUACAGUGCUUUUUUUCUAAACAGUCUUUAUUUUAAAAUAUCAUGGUAAUAAAAAUAGUGAUUUGAAUUUUUUAAAUUCCUACAGUCGAGGCUCACAAUAUAUUCUAUGUAUUAUGUAAUUACUUCUCUCUAUAAUUAUAGCUACUUUAGCACAUUAUGUACACCUAUUAAACACUGCACACACACAAUCUAGGGUAAUAGCCAGGAUAAUUAAACAAAUAAAUCAACUGAAAAUAUUAGAUAUAAUUUAACAUGUACUGCAAUCCAGCUACAAAGGGAUACAAUUUCCUCCUGCACAUGGGAUAUCUAGACUCAGAAAUAGGCAACAUUUGCCAAUCUAGCUGCUGUGGACUACGUCCCCCAUGAUGCACCAUGACACUAAACUUUCCCUAUUCCCCAUCUAGAGGAACUGAUGUUUGAAAAGCAAGUAAAAAUGAAUAAUUCAGACUCUUUGUGUGCAUUAAAUAAUAAAUACUACAUAGGCAAAGGUCAUUAUGACAGGAAGGGAGAGAUCACGUGUCUAUCAUAACUCCUAUACCGUACAAUUUAGGGGACUCAGCUUGUACUAUGGUGAGAUAUAACUGGGGACAUUAGGUGAUAAUUAUGUUCAAUAAGAUCAAAACAAUAUUUUUGGAAGCCCAGUUCUGAGUUACACAAAGAGUCAUAACACUCCGAUUUCCAUAGAAGAGAUUAUGUAAAAAACUGAACGGAACCAGAACACGGUCAAAAAGCCCAAAGUUUGUGACGUUGCUCCCUGUAGCAGUAUGGCAACUGACAAUGUUUUAACGAUGUUACGAUUGACCGCAACACUAUAAUAAAUAACAUACAGAAACAUACCCACAUGAUAUAUAAUAGCUUAUUCUUCCAUAAAACAAUGAUAGACUAUUCAAC
rnacentral:lncRNA from 1 species